UCACUGCUGAUGAGUCCCAUAUUAGGACGAAACGGACGUCCAGUGU
rfam:Schistosoma curassoni strain Dakar, Senegal genome assembly, scaffold: SCTD_scaffold0005156